GACGAACGCUGGCGGCGUGCUUAACACAUGCAAGUCGAACGAUGAAGUUCCUUCGGGAAUGGAUUAGUGGCGAACGGGUGAGGAACACGUGAGAAACCUGCCUUUCAUUUUGGGAUAACUCCGGGAAACCGGGGCUAAAACCGAAUACUCCGUCUCGGCGGCAUCGCUGAGCCGGGAAAAAAUUUUGAUGAAAGAUGGUCUCGAGGCCUAUCAGUUAGUUGGUGAGGUAAUGGCUCACCAAGGCAACGACGGGUAGCCGGCCUGAGAGGGCGACCGGCCACACUGGGACUGAGACACGGCCCAGACUCCUACGGGAGGCAGCAGUGGGGAAUAUUGGGCAAUGGGCGCAAGCCUGACCCAGCGACGCCGCGUGAGGGAUGAAGGCCUUCGGGUUGUAAACCUCUUCCAGUAGGGAAGAAGCGAAAGUGACGGUACCUAAAGAAGAAGCACCGGCUAACUAUGUGCCAGCAGCCGCCGUAA
rnacentral:rRNA from 1 species